GACGUAGGAGGCGAGCGUUAUCCGGAUUCACUGGGCGUAAAGCGCAUGUAGGCGGAUGUCUAAGUCGUGUGUUAAAGCCCCUGGCUCAACUGGGGGAGGUCAUGCGAGACUGGAUGACUUGAGGGCAACAGAGGCACGUGGAACUCCCGGUGUAGCGGUGGAAUGCGUAGAGAUCGGGAAGAACACCCGUGGCGAAGGCGGCGUGCUGGGUUGCAACUGACGCUGAGAUGCGAAAGUGUGGGGAGCAGACGGG
rnacentral:rRNA from 1 species